CUUGGUUUGUAAACUAAUACAACUUAGCAGGGGGAUUUUAUUAUAUUGUUCAAGGGUAUUAUAAAGGUUUAUAUUCUUCAGUCUACUUUUAAGUAAUAACCCAACAUAUAGAAUAUAGAAAAAGCUUUCUACAGUUUAUUUAUUAUGGUGAUAUUUGUCAUAUGGAAAAGUUAAUAGUGCCAUAAAUAUGCAGUAGCAGGGAAAUGGUAUUUAACUAUUUGGCAUUGUUAUUCACAAAUUAUUGUUCUACAAAACAUAAUUCUAUAAACAUGUAGAAAAGAGACUAGUAGAGAGUAUAUAAAUGUACACAAACUCCUGAAUAUUUUAUUACCUGUGGGUACCAUAUUUUUGCUUGGCAAAGUAAUGACCCAAACUCAGUUUGGAAAAUAUGGUCACCGGAGAGUCAUGUGGUCAUGAAGUCAUGAAAUCUGGAAAUGUCUAGCAAUAACCCAUUUAUUACAGAGAGAAAUCGACCUUCUUAUAACUUCCAUCCAUUCUUACCAGGUCUGGCAAUUGAGAGAACCAGACCAAAAACCUCAUAAACUAUGAUACAUAUGUAAAAGAUCAUGAUCUUAGCAGUUCUAACAUACUAACAGGCAGCCAUUGCAUCCCAAUCACUGUCAUGGUUAAUAUCCUAGAGAUAUAAAGUUAUGCUUAUAAUGUCUUCUAUUUGGACCCUUCAAACGGCAGACUUUCAUCUGCUCCUCUCCAACCCUGUAGCCUUCAUCUGGAACACGGCCUUGUGGUUCAGAACUGGAAAUGCUCUCCAGUAUUUUGCUCUACUUGAGUCUAAAAUAUCCUUCCUUAUAAUUGAAGGCAAAUGCUUGUUUUCUCCAUUCUCUCGGGAGCCAGCUUAGCAACAACCAACGGAUAUGGGAGUUGUUCAUUGGAAACGUCUUUCAACUUUGCUGCGUGCUUGCAAAUUUUCACAACAAUACAUUGGCAAAAAAAAUAUGACCUGGUGUGCCUUCACUGAUGAAAAUAGAUGAAAAAUGGAUUCCUAGUCCAUUUUUAGAUCUUUGCUUCUGAGUAGGAUUCAGGAGAUAGCAGACACGCAUCACUCCCACUGCUACAGCUCAGGAGCAAAAAGAGGUAUCACAAAUCACGUAUUCAUAACACAGUGGAGAAUCAAAGAGGCCAAGAGUUCUAGAAGAGUGGCCAGCGCCAUGGCUCAAUAGGCUAAUCUCCGCCUUGCGGCGCCGGCACACAGGGUUCUAGUCCUGGUCGGGACGCCGGAUUCUGUCCCGGUUGCCUCUCUUCCAGGCCAGCUCUCUGCUGUG
rnacentral:lncRNA from 1 species